GGAAGUAUAGGGUAGAGUAAUAAAAAACUGCAACAUAUAGUGUGAUGAAAAUAUAGCAUUUUAGAAAUAGCAUCAUUAUCAAAAACCUGCUGCACCUUACAACUGCGAAACUCUGCCUUUUCAGAUUUACUUCAAGGCAAAUGAUGUUUACAACGAGCAGUGGUAGAAUGCUUGGAUCAUCCCAGCCUUCUGGCAAAUCUUAUCUUUC
rnacentral:lncRNA from 1 species